GCCCCGGGGCGAGCGCGUCCCCGGGCCCCGCGGCCUCGGGCUGCGCCUGGGAGGGGCGGCGGGCCGCGGCGGACGGAGGGGGAGGGCGGCGGAGCCGGCGGAGCCAGCCUCGAGGGCGCGGGACCCAGCGCGCCCGCCUCGCCGCGGCGCCCGGGCCACGGCACCCAGCCCGACCGGCCUGGGGCGAGGGCGCAACCCAGCGACUGGCCCGCGGCCGCCGGCCGGCUCCUCGCCCCGGUCCGCAGCCCCUCCGCACCUCCCGGGCUGAGGCUCCCAGAGAAAAGAGAACACUACAAAUCUCACCCACAUCCAGAUCAAUGGUAUAAUUUCUUAGGAAUCAAGAAUCAAGACUGGGUUAUUUUCUAAGGUUAACCUUGAAAGCCCACUUGGAUGAUGCAACAAGAAAGGAUAAUCACCCAUACACUUGGACAUGAAAAAAUGAUCUUCUAUCAGGGAGCCCUCUUCAGCUAACCACCAGAAAUAGUGAGAAGGAACCUCUUUCUGACCCAACUCAUCCAGAUGAACACAUCAGCCCUUUGAAGAAGGACUGGAGCUGCAUGAGAAUGGCCAGGUCACUGUCUUCGGCUCACACAUCAUUAAGCAGCCUCCUCCAGAACAGCCACCAGUGUCUAGGUCCUGCCCUGUCCAGAGUGGUGCUCCCUCUCACCAGGCAUCGUGUACUGCGGUGUUACUGGGACUUCCCAGAGGAUGUGGCUCUUUUUUCUAAUUUGCACCAAAGCACCUAUAUGGACUAGUGCACAGCUCUGGCCGUUCUAUCUCUAAACCCCAGUCCUAACUGGGAUUAUAUUGCUUAUUUUGAAUGAAUUAGUGAUUCUCAAAUACAAAUUAGGUUUAUUGUAAAAGAUGAGAUAUUUGAUUUAAAUUGAAAACAAACUUCAUAGGGUCUACUGAUGCCCCCACUGAACUGACUUUCAGACUGAACCUUGACUGGAGUCUGUGGGUGAAAGCAACUGAGUUCAGAUGCAAGUUUCAUGCAGAGUCCUUGUGAUGGCUGAAGGUACACUAGUUUUUGCUUUUAAGAGAUAACUUAAGAUGAUUGAUAAGCACCUGCAGAAGAAUAGUCCUUUGUUUCAUUCUAAAAAAGUGAGAGACUACAUGAGAGGAACCGAACAGCCAACACUCCAUCUGGAGUCUUUGAAUCUAUUGGAUGGAUUGUUUUUGUGAAGAAGUUUCUCCCAUGAAAAUCCAGCAGAAAGAGCCAUAUUUGAGCCUUUACCUUAUGCUAGGGUGUGAUGGCUGUAGGACUGGAAGCCUCUGUUUCUAGUUGACUGCUUUCCAGAGAGCUCUUCAGUCGGCCCAGCUCACGACAUGGCAGCUUGCUUCUUCAAAACCAACAAAGCAGAGAGUCUUCUCUCAAGAUGGCCUUUGCAGUCUAGCAAAUGUAAUCCUGAACAACCCAUCACCUUUGCUGUAUUCAGUGGACAAGUCACAAAUCCUCCCCACGCUCCAGGAAAAGGAUCCCACAUGAGUGUCGGGAGGUGGGCAUCACGGGCCACCCGAAUGUCUGUCUACCACAUCCUCCUGCGUUUCAAGGCCAUCUGCUUAACUCUUCCUGCCAUGCCUGCUUCUCUGCCUUAUUUGUCUGUCCAGGGUUGAUCUUUCUUCUUUCUCCCAGUUUAUCAGUCUCCUGUUUUCUACACUUCUCGUUAUCUUCCUUAGAUUGGAUUCCUUGUCCCUCUGAAUAAUAUUUGAGUACUAGUCUUUCUCUCCCUUUCACACCCCGACAUCUUGAAUAGUUGUGUACACUGACUAUUGCAUUUACCUCCUUUUCCCUGGGCUCUCAACCCUCUCCUGUCUGCCUUCUGACUCUGAUUCUCCACUGAAUGGUUCCUCCUCACCUCACCAAUGGCUACCAUAUCUAGUUAUGACAGCGCCAUAAUAUUUUUCAGUGCUCAUCUUAAUGAACCACUCAGCAACAUUUAAUAAAGCUGACCAUUCGCUUCUUGAAAUAUUCCUUCCCUUUUUAUUUUCAUAUCAAGACAUACUCCAGGUUCCCAUUCUUCCAGCUGCUCCUUUGCUAGUUUCUCCUCUAUUAAACCACUAAGUAUUGUGAUGCCUAUGAAUUCUGUCCUGGGUCCUCCAUUCUCAUUUACAUUGUGCCCUCUCUAGUCCACCACAUCUAGUCCUGUGUGGCUUUCAUUUCAUGUAGGUAGACCAGAUGUCUCAGGGAGCUCCAGCAUCACAUAGUUGCAUUUUUGAUACCUCUCCUUUAAUAUUUCAUGAGCAUUUCAAAUUCAAUUUAUUCAAAUCUAAAUUACAUAGAUUUCUACUAUAGACCUCUACUUUCAAUGUUCUAUAUCUCAGUAUACAGCACUAUCAUUUGGUACCUUGCUCACCCCAGAAACCUCUGAGCAAUCUUUGAUCAUUCUUUUUCCUCUUUCCAUAUUUCUAGUCAGUUAUCAAAUGAACUUCUUUCCAUCUCUUGACUGACUAAUCUCUCUCCUCUUUAUGGUCACUGAUAUCAUCUUAGUGUAAGUCGCCUCAUUUACACUUCUCCCUCGCCUGUACUCCUGCACCAGCUGCCAACCAAACUCACGUUUCAGGGUACACACUUGCCCCUUGCCAAUCCAUCCUCUGCAUCGUAACUAGAACAUUCUUUUAGAAAUGCAAACCUAAUCAGUUGAUUCCUUGCUUUAAAGGCUUCAGAUAGUUUUCAUUGUCCUUAUGAGACAUCACAUUCCUUAGCACAGACAACAUGGAAGGGAAGAUCCAUAAGUGUAGACCCGUGUCUUGUAUAUUGCUGCCUCUCCAAUGCCUGCUUAGCACAGUACCUGGUAUGUAGAUGGUGCUCACUAAAUUUUGAAUGAAAUAAUUAUAAGAUUCCAUACGUUCUGUGCUCUGUAUCAGUUAACUUGUGCUAUGUAAAGAAACCAUCUCGACAUUUAGCAGCUUAAAUAUCAGUUUAUUUGCUCAUAAUUCAGUAGGUCAGCCAGACAUUUCUCAUCCAGGCUCUUAGUGGAUGUCUGAGGUUGUCUGUUUGCUGGGCUGGGGCUGGGUACUCUUAAGGCAGCCUCGUUCAUAUUAUCACUAGAGUCCUAAGCCAAAGGCCUGACUCUGGGGGUCUCAGCAGAACGCAGUCAGCCACUAGCCAACACACUCCAAUCAACAGAAAGAGAUGAGUGGUCGUGAGCAGGAAAGGAAUUUAUUUUCAGUGUAGCCACAGCAUGAAGGAGUGAGGGAGGGGGUGUCCCAAGCCCCAACUUCGGGGUAUUAACAAUGGCUGUAGGAUUUCAUAGGGGAAAAACUAGGGCAGGGGGCAAGAAGUAUGCAGAGUCAAGCAGUCUUGGUCAAACUGUGGUCUGGUUGAUCAUUAUCUCAGGUCUGGUUCUACGGGGUCCUGCUGGCGCCACAGAAAUCAUUAUUGCUUGGGGGACAAUUCUGUUGCUGUCAUGAGAUGAUUGCUCCCCCUUUGGGGGGCAGCCUCUGUUCCCAUCAUGAGGUAAUUGCCUGCAGGGCUUGCUGUUCCUGGAACUUGAGAUAAGUUGGGGAGGAGAAAUAACUCAAAGAACAGGUCUGAGAAACAAAAUAGAGUCAGUUAAGACAAGGACUGGAUCUUCCUUCCGGGGAGGCAAAUGACAAUUUCAGAGGAGCCAAGUUAGAAUAUGUCUGCCAAGCCUGCUGGUUAGUGUACCCGGCCUUCCGCUGGGACAGUGUCAUUGU